rnacentral:misc_RNA from 1 species
AAGUCGUAACAAGGUUUCCGUAGGUGAACCUGCGGAAGGAUCAUUAUCGUGGGGCUUCGGCCCUAUCGAGAUAGAACCCUUGCCUUUUUGUACCUUCUGUUGCCUCGGCGUCUGCUUCACGGCGGCGCCAACGGGGCCAAAUAAUAAACUCUUUUUUAUCAUGAAAUAGUCUGAGAAAAAAAUUAAAAGUUAAAA